rnacentral:rRNA from 1 species
AUGGCGGCCGCCGGGAAGGUGAUCAAGUGCAGAGCGGCGGUGGCAUGGGAGGCCGGGAAGCCUACGAUCAAGGAGGUGGAGGUGGCGCCGCCACAGGCCAUGGGGAUGUGAGUCAAGAUCCUCUACACUGUCCUCUGCCACACUGACGUCUACUUCUGGGAAGCCAAGGGCCAAACUCCGGUUUUCCCUAGGAUCUUAGGCCAUGAAGCUGGAGGCAUUGUUGAGAGCGUUGGAGAGGGUGUUACUGAGCUCGUGUUGGGUGACCAUGUCCUCCCUGUGUUCACCAGCGAGUGCGAGUGUGCCCACUGUAAAUCAAAGGAGAGCAACCUUUGUGACCUCCUCAGGAUCAACGUGGAUCGUGGCGUGAUGAUCGGUGAUGGGGAGUCUCGCUUCACCAUUAAUGGGAAACCGAUCUUCCACUUCGUUGGGACCUCCACCUUCAGUGAGUACACCGUGAUCCAUGUCGGGUGCCUCGCAAAGAUCAACCCCGAGGCGCCCCUUGACAAAGUUUGUGUUCUCAGCUGUGGCAUCUCAACUGGACUUGGUGCUACUCUCAAUGUCGCGAAACCGAAAAAGGGUGACGACCCAAGACGUUUUUGUUCUACGCCAUGUUUGAUCAAGCCAUGGAAGGGGCCAAGAUGGCUUGGGUAGUCAAGGAUCAUUGGUGUGGAUUUGAACCCUGCAAAAUACGAACAAGCUAAGAAAUUUGGAUGCACCGACUUUGUGAACCCAAAGGACCACACCAAGCCCGUGCAAGAGGUGCUUGUCGAGAUGACCAAUGGCGGAGUUGACCGUGUGGUUGAGUGCACUGGCCACAUCGACGCCAUGAUCGCCGCCUUCGAAUGUGUCCAUGAUGGGUGGGGCGUGGCGGUGCUGGUGGGUGUCCCGCACAAGGAGGCGGUGUUCCACCCGAUGAACUUCGUCAAUGAAAGGACCCUGAAGGGCACCUUCGGCAACUACAAACCACACACCGACCACCGGGAAGUCGUCGAGAUGUACAUGAGGAAGGAGCUGGAGCUGGAAAAGUUCAUCACGCACAGCGUGCCCUUCUCCCAGAUCAACAUGGCGUUCGACCUCAUGCUCAAGGGGGAGGGCCUGCGCUGCGUCAUGAGGAUGACGAGCAAAUCGCCUCUUAGUCGUCAUGUGUCUUGCCGUUUUAAGAUUUGGAGCUGGAGAAGUUGCCGCCUGACGAGGAAUCAGAGCUGUCUGUCCGUAACAUUUUGGAACCAUUGA